rnacentral:rRNA from 1 species
UACGUAGGGUGCAAGCGUUAAUCGGAAUUACUGGGCGUAAAGCGUGCGCAGGCGGUGAUGUAAGACAGUUGUGAAAUCCCCGGGCUCAACCUGGGAACUGCAUCUGUGACUGCAUCGCUGGAGUGCGGCAGAGGGGGAUGGAAUUCCGCGUGUAGCAGUGAAAUGCGUAGAUAUGCGGAGGAACACCGAUGGCGAAGGCAAUCCCCCUGGGCCUGCACUGACGCUCAUGCACGAAAGUGUGGGGAGCAAACAGG